rnacentral:rRNA from 1 species
CCUACGGGAGGCAGCAGUGAGGAAUAUUGGUCAAUGGACGCAAGCCUGAACCAGCCAAGCCGCGUGCAGGAAGACGGCUCUAUGAGUUGUAAACUUCUUUUGUACGAGGGUAAACGCAGAUACGCGUAUCUGUCUGCAAGUAUCGUACGAAUAAGGAUCGGCUAACUCCGUGCCAGCAGCCGCGGUAAUACGGAGGAUUCGAGCGUUAUCCGGAUUUAUUGGGUUUAAAGGGUUCGUAGGCGGUCGGUUAAGUUAGAGGUGAAAUCCCGAGGCUCAACUUCGGAAUUGCCUUUGAUACUGUUCGGCUAGAGUGUAGUAGAGGUAGGCGGAAUGUGUGGUGUAGCGGUGAAAUGCUUAGAGAUCAUAAAGAACACCGAUUGCGAAGGCAGCCUACCAAGCUACUUCUGACGUUGAGGCACGAAAGCGUGGGGAGCAAACAGGAUUAGAUACCCCGGUAGUC